CGGCCAACAAGGAGACAGAUUUAUAGAAUUUUGCUUGGUUCUUUGGAGCACGGCUGACGACGUGAGGCAGGCAGCGCUCAGAGCAGUGAGAUAAUUGUCAGCGGAAUGUGCUCAGUACUGGGUUAGGGGGCUGCCAUGGGAGUCACUACGUGGAUCAGUCAAAAUAUAUCACUGCAGGCAGUCAGGCAGGCAGGAAGUCAGUCAGGCAGGCACAGCGCUGAGGAGAAAUGCCACAGGGGAGGGCUGGUGUUUUUGGUCCGUGCCAUCCUGGACUAGCGUGGUCGGUUGGGGGGUCUCCAGUACCUCGCGGAUUGGGAGGGGUACGGUCUAGAGGAGCGGUGCUGGGUUCCGGCGAGGGACGACAUCGAUCCCUCCUAGCUCUGAGAUUUCCACCGUCGGCGUCUGGAGAGCCCUGCGCCACGCCCUGUCGUCCAUGGUGGCGGUCGACGUCACCGGCCUUCUAGCUGCCACCGUCCCUGAUCUCAUUCAUUAUCCAUUCCUGGUCUGGGUUUUGCUUUGUCCCCAUCUACACACCUAGUUACCAUUAGUCGUUAUAUGUGUGUAUAUAGUUUCCUUUGAGUCCCCUCUCAUUGUUCGUUGUUGUUCCCUGUUUUGUGUUUGCCAUUUUACUGUCUGCUGUGUUACUCUUUAUUGAGUUGUCCUGAGUUGGAUUAUUGCUGUAUUCAGUUUACUCUUGAUGGGACUCAUGCCUAAGUGCCCUUUUCUGUACAAUAAAUCAUGGAAUUGAG
ensembl:lncRNA